ensembl:snoRNA
AACCCCUGGCAAUGGGCAAGAGAUACCUUGUUGGUAGUGUUGUUCUUAUAUUAGCCAGGGCAGAGCAGAUGGCUUUCUUUUGUUCAUCCUAGCUUGAUGCCAGGCUUGGUGGCCAAAGAUGUUUCAUGUCUAGGGCACAUAA